rnacentral:SRP_RNA from 1 species
UGUCCGGUCCUGCGCAACGGCAGCCUGCGAACCAUGUCAGGCGGGGAACCGAGCAGCAUUAAGCAGUGUCUGCUGUGUGCCGCAGACCGCCGGGCAGAA